AUGAUCUGAAGUCAAGUGGGAUUACCCGCUGAACUUAAGGUUUUGCAUAUCAAUAAGCGGAGGAG
rnacentral:rRNA from 1 species